UACGUAGGAGGCAAGCGUUGUCCGGAAUUACUGGGUGUAAAGCGCGUGUAGGCGGCAGGCCAAGUCUGUGGUGAAAUCGCUCGGCUCAACUGGGCGGGGUCCAUGGAAACUGGUCAGCUGGAGGACGGUAGAGGUGAGUGGAAUUCCCGGUGUAGUGGUGAAAUGCGUAGGGAUCGGGAGGAACACCCGUGGCGAAGGCGGCUCACUGGGCCGGUCCUGACGCUGAGACGCGAAGGCGUGGGGAGCGAACGGG
rnacentral:rRNA from 1 species